rnacentral:rRNA from 1 species
UACGUAGGGGGCAAGCGUUGUCCGGAUUUAUUGGGCGUAAAAGGCUUGUAGGUGGCCACGCCAAGUCGGAUGUGAAAUCUCCCGGCUCAACUGGGAGGGGUCAUUCGAUACUGGUGGGCUCGAGGCCGGUAGGGGGAAGUGGAAUUCCCGGUGUAGUGGUGGAAUGCGUAGAUAUCGGGAGGAACACCAGUGGCGAAGGCGGCUUCCUGGACCGGUUCUGACACUGAGGAGCGAA